AUGGUGCUCUACCUAAACCGCCGCGGCAUCCAGCGCUGGAUGCGCAACCUGCGCGAGGCGUGCCGGGACCAGAUGGAGGGCUACCACUACCGCUACGAGCAGGACGCCGACCCGCGCCGCGCGCCCGCGCCCGCCGCGCCCGCGGGCUCCCGCGCCACCUCCCCGGGCUCGGGGCUCUGAGCGGCGCCCCCGGGCUCGGGGCUUCCCUUGCCUGGCCCGAAGCCGUGGAGAUGAGACACCCGCGAGCCCCGAGCUCUGAGACCUUCCCCUGACUCGGAGGCGCUAAGCCGUACCCUCUCGUUCCCGCCUCCGAGAGCUCCCACCGUCAAAGACCCAGAGAUAGCCGGUCCGAAUCCAGAAACCCCGCCUGCCCACCCUAGUUUCCGAAACCUCCCUCCUGAACCACUGAAAGUCCGUUCCCCGUCUCGGAGCUCACACAGAGAAUCUGUCCUUCAAGGCCAAAGCUCUGAGACUUGCCCCCAGCACCCUGUGCUUGGAGCUCCGACACCCGAGACUGCACUGACCUCCCUCGCCAGCUCGGAGCCCUCAGUCCCCUCCGGGGCUUGAGGGCCCUUCCAUCCCAUUCUGGACUCGAAGCACAGCACCCCCAUCAGAAUGGUUUUGUGGAUUUUGAGCCCUUUGUCCCAUCCCAGAGCUCAGAGCCCUCCAUCCUGCAUGGAGGCCCAACCCUGGGGCUCUGAGGAUUGGGCACCCUCCCCUCAUCUAAGAAUAUAUUUCAUACCCCUGCCCCCCCUUCACCCACCCCCGCCUCUGGCUCAGGCCCUUCCCUUCCUCGGCUCAGGCAUGGGGCUCAGCUCCUAGUCUGUCCCUCCCAUCCCAGGGACAAGCACAGCCCAUCUAGCCUUAGUGUGGAGCCAACUCUCAGCCUUUCCCACCAGGGCGCUGACCUCCCGAUACUCAGUGCUGGUCCCCAGUCUCAGACUCUCAGCUCUUCACCCCGAUCUGACUUUCGUCCUCCUGCCCAAGCCUUUGGCUCUUGACCCCCCCCCCAUACCCAAUGCUGGCACUCAGCACCCACCCCUGCCAUUCACUAGUCAAGGUCCAGUGAGGAAUCCGUCCCUGGGAUGUCCUCAUCCCCUUUUCGUCCCAGGACGAGCUCUUCAGUCCUGCCGGAUAGGUGCAGGUGCCAUGCACCCCUAGUGCAUACUGGCAGAUCCUUGUAGGGAAGGAGAGAGUCUUGGGUGUGUGAAAGGGAUAGUGGGGCAUCGUGGCCUCAGAGAGGGGCAGGAAGUGGGGUCUGAAGGGCUGGAAGUUGCUGCCCUUCGAUUUCUCUAUGCUCUCUCCCACCCCUGUGGCUCUUCGCCCUUGGGGAUUCCUUGCCACCACCGCUACCACCACCACCUCACCCCGUGUAUCUUCUGAAAGAGAAGUAGGUCUUUCCUCCUGCCUCAGGCACAAGCCCUCCUGGUUCAGGGUCAGAAGCUCAGCACCUUGCCUUCUCCAUGAUCCCAAAGCACAAUUGGUGAGUGGGGGAGAGGACCCCCUCUCCCUGACUCCCCACCCUCUAGAUCAGGCAGAAUGGCUGGCCUGUGCUGCGUCUGCACACAGGAAGUCACCUUCCUUUAAUAUAUUGGCUUGAGGCCUGCCUGCCCUCCCCAUACCCAGAAAAUCUGGAUCUCCCUUGAGCAGUUUUCUAUAAAGUCUGCAAUAAUCUCAGA
rnacentral:lncRNA from 1 species